rnacentral:lncRNA from 1 species
UAGAGAGUGAUACUUAUCUUGUAAUAUCAUGCUUGAAGAAAAAGAGGUUGCAUAUAUUAGAGUUGAAUUAUUGUGUCAUGCUCCCAACUCGAGAUCUGCAAGCCAAGAGCCACAGCAACCAUCGCAUACUUAUGGAGAACUCUGCUCACAAGUAUGCAAGGCAUUUCAAAUACGAUAUCAAUACUUCAUAGCAGAAAUCAUAAUAAAUUAAGUCCAAAAUUUAAUUAACUAAAUCGACUUCAAUCUCUCACAAGAUUUCAACAAUAUUAAGA